CAAAGGAAUUGACGGGGCCGCACAAGCGGUGGAGCAUGUGGUUAAUUCGAAGCAACGCGAAGAACCUUACCAGGUCUUGACAUCCCGAUGUUAUUUCUAGAGAUAGAAAGUUACUUCGGUACAUCGGUGACAGGUGGUGCAUGGUUGUCGUCAGCUCGUGUCGUGAGAUGUUGGGUUAAGUCCCGCAACGAGCGCAACCCCUAUUGUUAGUUGCCAUCAUUCAGUUGGGCACUCUAGCGAGACUGCCGGUAAUAAACCGGAGGAAGGUGGGGAUGACGUCAAAUCAUCAUGCCCCUUAUGACCUGGGCUACACACGUGCUACAAUGGUUGGUACAACGAGUUGCGAGUCGGUGACGGCGAGCUAAUCUCUUAAAGCCAAUCUCAGUUCGGAUUGUAGGCUGCAACUCGCCUACAUGAAGUCGGAAUCGCUAGUAAUCGCGGAUCAGCACGCCGCGGUGAAUACGUUCCCGGGCCUU
rnacentral:rRNA from 1 species